rnacentral:rRNA from 1 species
UACAGAGGUCCCGAGCGUUGUUCGGAUUCACUGGGCGUAAAGGGUGCGCAGGCGGGUUGGUAAGUUCGAUGUGAAAGCCCCGGGCUUAACCCGGGAACGGCAUUGGAUACUACUGGUCUGGAGGAUUGGAGGGGGGACUGGAAUUCUUGGUGUAGCAGUGAAAUGCGUAGAUAUCAAGAGGAACACCAGUGGCGAAGGCGAGUCCCUGGACAAUACCUGACACUGAGGCACGAAAGCCGGGGGAGCAAACAGG